UACGUAGGGUGCGAGCGUUAAUCGGAAUUACUGGGCGUAAAGCGUGCGUAGGCGGUCCCGCAAGUCCGCUGUGAAAGCCCCGAGCUUAACUUGGGAACUGCAGUGGAAACUAUGGGACUUGAAUCCGGCAGAGGGGGGUGGAAUGCCACGUGUAGCAGUGAAAUGCGUAGAGAUGUGGCGGAACACCGAUGGCGAAGGCAGCCCCCUGGGCUGAGAUUGACGCUCAGGCACGAAAGCGUGGGGAGCAA
rnacentral:rRNA from 1 species